rnacentral:lncRNA from 1 species
AUCACAUGAAGUGCACUGGUGGCACAAAUGCAAGCCUUAAAAGUCUUGUUAACACAAAAUAACACUGGCGGAUUCAAGAUGCUGCAAUACAUUUUUAGGGCAGCCAAUUGGAUUCCAGGAACGCAAAGCAAUUCCAGGUCAUGUUGUAACCAUCAAUUUGCUGCCCCUUGACUACUCCCAAGUUUGGUCCUAGUCUCACCAUGUACAUCAAUAUGGGUGUAUGCUAUAACAUUAGGAUCUAUUAUUAGAAUAUGCACUAGAAUUUAUCCAAAAGCAAAGACAAGCUAACAUCAAGUGCUUCAGUUGGCUGAAGAAAGGGACCCCAUGCCAUGAGGCCAUGACUUGCUCUGUCAUAAGCCCGCUGUAUGAACCGCAAGAUAUGACCAGUAGUAGUGUGAUCCAGAUACUCAAGUCUGGAAUGAUUUUGUAGCAUUGCCACUGGACCUCAGACGCUUAUAUUCACAUAAAUCAGAAUGAAGCUGCAUUAACAAAUAAAUUUCAGAAAUGAGAAGCAAUAACAACAGUUUAAGAAAAGAAUACAUGUUACAUAUAGUAAUAUUUCCCUGCAGCCCAAUGGUACGAAUAAAUCAAAGUCGUUGUAUUUGGCAGUGAAGCUAAAAGAUAUAAAAUGCAAAUUAACUAUGAUGUCACUGCCAAAGAAGCAUAAAUAGCAAUCAAUGUCUAAUGAAAAAUCAGAACAGAAGGAAUUAUUUUCAGAAAGUAUAAAUCACCUACAUACAUUUUUUUUGCUACAUCAGUUGGCGAAGGCCCUCUUGCAUAUGUCAAAAAUAGUACUACUAUGUUUAGAAAAGCCGCUCACAACACAAAAAAUGACAUGACAAUCAGAAGAUCAUAGCAGGAAAUAUAACCCUGAUGAAGGGUUAGACCUCUAUUCCGAUUGCUCUUAAAAGCUUUGCAUGGUAAUAUGAUAUUUACAAAGGUUGCCUAGAUUUUAACAAGAAAAUGUUACUGCUGAUAUGCCAAAUUAAAAAUGGGACAAUCUGCUAGUGCUAAGUCAUAAAUAACCAGUAUUUCCUAUUUUUAUCAAGUAAACUGCAAAUCUAGCAUGAAGAGAAUUGACUGUUUAAAGGUGUACAACUAAUAGUCAUAAGAUUAAGUACACCAUUUUUCAUGGAUGAAUAUGGUACUCAAAGAAGAAUACUCGUUGAGAUAAAAUGCGUUCCAUGCCAAAAAAAAGAACAUCCGAAUCAUUACUGGGGCAAGAUGGGAACUAUAAAAGAACAUGCAUCACAUAUGAACAAGUGAAAACUCAUGGAAGUGACAUGCCUUCGAACUUGAGAUCCAUUCUCCAGCCUCAUUUUUGUACUAUUUAUGGAACUCCAGUUAUGCUUUCAUUGUAGACCGUGCAACUUCUUAGUAGGAUGUAAACAAAUAAAGCGAUUGAAUAUCAAAAGCAUGAAUGGACCACAAAUCAUGAAAAAUUAAAAUCGGAGGACCGACAUGUUCACAAGCUAUGGAAAAAUGUUCUUCACCAAAAUUUUACCGCAUCUUAUUUCUUUUUCUGUUUCUUUCAUAAAACUGCACAAUUGUGACCCCGCUUCUGCUUCUGCCUGCUUGUCCUCGAGUCACUCACAGGCGCCAAGAACUAAAUACUAAAACAAUCAAUGGUCGUCCCAAGGACCAAUAAGAUGUUAAAUUGUUGCAUGAUCGACACGCGCACAUGCAGAUGACCCAGAGCCAAUACACGAGGACGGGGAGAAGGAGAAACAAGAAGCACCUAGAGCUGAGCUUAAUUUAAUUAGCUGUUUGGUUCGUGUUUUCUGUCUCCAUAUGCAUCAUUGAUGUGUCUAUUGUAGCCUGCAAGAAAAGUCCACGAGAGCCUGCUUUCCCACACGCACACCUAAUGAACAAAGCCAGCCACACACGCACCAUUUGGCAUGGCCUCCUCCCAUCUGAACAAGUGACAACAAAACAUUUCCAGCAUCGUGAAAUCCAAUACAUUAGCAACAAGUACAUAAGCAACAACGUCGGUCGGGUAUAUGCAUAUUGUCGUAUGCAGUAAAGGUGCCAUGAUUAUUAGUUUAUUACCACCACACCAUUUUGUACGGUCUAGAACAUGUAUAUGGACUGAUUGUGAGGCUACAAAAAAAGGAGUACAAUGGGUCCUUGUACGCCAAAGUAUCUAUCUACAUACAUCUAAUUAAAUUCAGAUAUCCGGUGAAAUGUGUAAGGCUGAACCAAAAUGUAGAACAAAGGAGCUGCUCGAUCGAGUAUUUACCAAGCCCAAUUCAUACCAACAAUGUUUCAAUGGUUUGCAGUUCUGAAAUUGGUCACGACUAUCUUCGGUAAGGACGAGCACAUCUCAAAAUUAAUUGAAGAAAACUUGCACAACCAUUGGUACUAUGAGUAACUCUACUGAUUGUUUGCAGCCUCUGAGAUUAUCCUAAUAAAAUCUCACCCAAGCAAUCCGUUGAACUCGCAUAGAGAAGAACCGCCUUUUCAGUAAUGCUGCUGGCAGGGAAA